rnacentral:rRNA from 1 species
CCUACGGGGCGCAGCAGUGGGGAAUAUUGGGCAAUGGGCGCAAGCCUGACCCAGCAACGCCGCGUGGAGGAAGAAGGCUUUCGGGUUGUAAACUUCUUUUAUGAGGGACGAAACAAAUGACGGUACCUCAUGAAUAAGCCACGGCUAACUACGUGCCAGCAGCCGCGGUAAUACGUAGGUGGCAAGCGUUAUCCGGAUUUACUGGGUGUAAAGGGCGUGUAGGCGGGACUGCAAGUCAGAUGUGAAAAUUAUGGGCUCAACCCAUAACCUGCAUUUGAAACUGCAGUUCUUUAGUGAUGGAGAGG